rnacentral:rRNA from 1 species
CGAGCGCCCCGCAAGGGGAGCGGCAGACGGGUGAGUAACGCGUGGGAAUCUACCCAUCUCUACGGAACAACUCCGGGAAACUGGAGCUAAUACCGUAUACGUCCUUCGGGAGAAAGAUUUAUCGGAGAUGGAUGAGCCCGCGUUGGAUUAGCUAGUUGGUGGGGUAAUGGCCUACCAAGGCGACGAUCCAUAGCUGGUCUGAGAGGAUGAUCAGCCACACUGGGACUGAGACACGGCCCAGACUCCUACGGGAGGCAGCAGUGGGGAAUAUUGGACAAUGGGCGAAAGCCUGAUCCAGCCAUGCCGCGUGAGUGAUGAAGGCCCUAGGGUUGUAAAGCUCUUUCAACGGUGAAGAUAAUGACGGUAACCGUAGAAGAAGCCCCGGCUAACUUCGUGCCAGCAGCCGCGGUAAUACGAAGGGGGCUAGCGUUGUUCGGAAUUACUGGGCGUAAAGCGCACGUAGGCGGAUACUUAAGUCAGGGGUGAAAUCCCGGGGCUCAACCCCGGAACUGCCUUUGAUACUGGGUAUCUCGAGUCCGGAAGAGGUGAGUGGAAUUCCGAGUGUAGAGGUGAAAUUCGUAGAUAUUCGGAGGAACACCAGUGGCGAAGGCGGCUCACUGGUCCGGUACUGGCGCUGAUGUGCCAACGCGUGGGGAACAAAAAGGAUUAGAUACC